GACGAACGCUGGCGGCGUGCUUAACACAUGCAAGUCGAACGGAAAGGCCCUGCUUUUGUGGGGUGCUCGAGUGGCGAACGGGUGAGUAACACGUGAGUAACCUGCCCUUGACUUUGGGAUAACUUCAGGAAACUGGGGCUAAUACCGGAUAGGAGCUCCUGCUGCAUGGAGGGGGUUGGAAAGUUUCGGCGGUUGGGGAUGGACUCGCGGCUUAUCAGCUUGUUGGUGGGGUAGUGGCUUACCAAGGCUUUGACGGGUAGCCGGCCUGAGAGGGUGACCGGCCACAUUGGGACUGAGAUACGGCCCAGACUCCUACGGGCGGCAGCAGUGGGGAAUAUUGCACAAUGGGCGGAAGCCUGAUGCAGCAACGCCGCGUGCGGGAUGACGGCCUUCGGGUUGUAAACCGCUUUCGCCUGUGACGAAGCGUGAGUGACGGUAAUGGGUAAAGAAGCACCGGCUAACUACGUG
rnacentral:rRNA from 1 species